rnacentral:rRNA from 1 species
UGGGGAAUUUUGGACAAUGGGCGAAAGCCUGAUCCAGCAAUGCCGCGUGUGUGAAUAAGGCCUUCGGGUUGUAAAGCACUUUUGUCCGGAAAGAAAUCCUUGGCUCUAAUACAGUCGGGGGAUGACGGUACCGGAAGAAUAAGCACCGGCUAACUACGUGCCAGCAGCCGCGGUAAUACGUAGGGUGCAAGCGUUAAUCGGAAUUACUGGGCGUAAAGCGUGCGCAGGCGGUUUGCUAAGACCGAUGUGAAAUCCCCGGGCUCAACCUGGGAACUGCAUUGGUGACUGGCAGGCUAGAGUAUGGCAGAGGGGGGUAGAAUUCCACGUGUAGCAGUGAAAUGCGUAGAGAUGUGGAGGAAUACCGAUGGCGAAGGCAGCCCCCUGGGCCAAUACUGACGCUCAUGCACGAAAGCGUGGGGAGCAAACAGGAUUAGAUACCCUGGUAGUCCACGCCCUAAACGAUGUCAACUAGUUGUUGGGGAUUCAUUUCCUUAGUAACGUAGCUAACGCGUGAAGUUGACCGCCUGGGGAGUACGGUCGCAAGAUUAAAACUCAAAGGAAUUGACGGGGUCAUAGCUG